GAGUUUGAUCUUGGCUCAGGAGGAACGCUGGCGGCGUGCCUAACACAUGCAAGUCGAACGGAGUUCCUAAGGAAUGCGGCUUCGGCCAAAUGACUUUUGAACUUAGUGGCGGACGGGUGAGUAACGCGUGAGCAACCUGCCUUUCAGAGGGGGGAUAACAUUUGGAAACAGAUGCUAAUACCGCAUAAGAUUACAGUACCGCAUGAUACAGUGAUCAAAGGAGCAAUCCGCUGAAAGAUGGGGCUCGCGUCCGGAUUAGAUAGUUAGGUGUAGGUAACGGGACUCACCCAAGUCGACGAUCGGUAGCCGGACUGAGAGGUUGAACGGCCACAUUGGGACUGAGAC
rnacentral:rRNA from 1 species